rnacentral:rRNA from 1 species
AAUGGGCGCAAGCCUGAUGCAGCCAUGCCGCGUGUGUGAUGAAGGCCUUAGGGUUGUAAAACACUUUCAUCGGUGAAGAUAAUGACGGUAGCCGAAGAAGAAGCCCCAGCUAACUCCGUGCCAGCAGCCGCGGUAAUACGGAGGGGGCAAGCGUUGUUCGGAAUUACUGGGCGUAAAGCGCACGUAGGCGGACUGAUCAGUUGGGGGUGGAAUCCCGAGGCUUAACCUCGGAACUGCCUUCAAUACUGUCAGUCUUGAGAUCGGAAGAGGUGAGUGGAAUUCCUAGUGUAGAGGUGAAAUUCGUAGAUAUUAGGAAGAACACCAGUGGCGAAGGCGGCUCACUGGUCCGAUACUGACGCUGAGGUGCGAAAGCGUGGGGAGCGAACAGGAUU